AGUGGUUGGAUUUCAUCCCUUACUGGUCUCAACCAAAGUAUUCCUGUUGGAAUUAUGAUGAUCAUCAUAGCAGCACUUUUCACAGCAUCAGCGGUCAUCUCACUAGUUAUGUUUAAAAAGGUAAGUGACAUUUUACAUCUGUAAAUUUUUAUAGUUAAUUCUCAUUUUCCCAUUUUGCUUAUUAUUUUUUUUAAUGUUUAUUUGAUUUUGAGAGAGAGAGAGAGAUGAGAAAGAGAGAGAGUGUGAAUCAGGGAGGGGCAGAGAGGGAGACAGAAUCCAAAGCAGGCUCCAGGCUCUGAGCUGUCAGCACAAAGCCCCAUGAGGGGCUCGAACUCACAAAUCGUGAGAUUGUGACCUGAGCCGAAGUUGGAUGCUUAACGACUGAGACACCUAGGUGCCCCUCCCAUUUUGCUCCUAAUUCAGUGUCACCUCAAGCCAUUUUGUUCUUCUUGUUACAAGUGUGCUCUCUGAGCAUUACAAUUAGAAGUUAUGGAUAGAUAAUAUUGCCUCACGUUUUUAACUUACUCUAAAAAGGGAAUAUUUUAAAAUCCUGUUAUUACUUAGGGCUUCUUUCAUGAAGAGUCAACCUCAUUUUGAAAAUUUGGAAUUGGGGUGCCUGGGUGGCUCAGUUGGUUAAGCGUCUGACUUCAGCUCAGGUCAUGAUCUUGUGGUUCAUGGGUUCGAGCCCUGUGUCAGGCUCUGUGCUUACAGCUCAGAGCCUGGAGUCUGCUUGGGAUUCUGUGUCUCCCUCUCUCUCUGCCCCUCUCCUGCUUGUGUUCUGUCUCUCUUAAUCUCUCAAAAUUGAAUAAAUGUUAAAUUUUUUUUAAUUUGGAAUUAAAAAAAUACAUAUUCUGAUUUCUUUUUUUGAAAAUAAAUCAUAUUUGCCUAAUUGAUAAAUAGAAGUAAAAAAGUGUGGAACGUGCAUUUUGUUUGUAUUUGAAAUUGAAAGACAUGAAAUUAUGAGUAUAAAGUAAGCUGAUGAUGGGUUUGGGCUGGGUUAUAACAUGAAUUUUAUUUUAGUGAUUGCCCUAUUAUCUUAGCUAUACUUCUUUCUGUAAAAUUCCCAUGGCUAUUUUCAUAGCCUUAAAAAAAUUAUUACAUAGAGAAGUCAAAGUUAUGAUUUGUGUAUAUAAGGUUUUAUUAUGUCUUAUAUAUUUUUGAUAUCCUAUGUGUGUCCAAACAUGUAGAUUGUACAUCAUAUAGAGACCCUGGGAAUAACACUUAUGUUUGAAGAUGAUAAAGAACUUUUUGGGGAGUCUCAUUUUAAAGAAGAUAAUUCCUUAGAACUGUUUCUUCUUAAUUUUUUACUGUCUGGUAACUUAAGAAAAUGUACAAGGAAAAUAGAAAUAACUAACUUAAGAAAUAACUAAUUUAAGAACACUUUUGCACUCUUGGGGCGCCUGAGCGUCCAGCUUCAGCUCAGGUCAUGAUCUUGCGUUUGUGGGUUGGAGCCCCACAUCAGGUUCUGUGCCGACAGCUCAGAGCCCAGAGCCUGCUUUGGAUUCUCUGUCUCCCUUUGUCUCUGCCUCUCCCCUACUUGCACUCUGUCUCUCUCUCUCUCUUUCUCAAAAAUAAAAUUUAAAAAGUUAAAAAAAUAAAACCUCUUUGCACUCUUGAAAUAUUUUGCACAUUUGCCUUUUAUCCUUUUCAAAACCCUGAAGACUAGGCUGUGUUCUUUCUGUCCAUAUUUUGCUACUCAUUUUCUCUCUUAAAAGCUGUUACUUGUUUUCUGAACUGGUCACACAUACUAUUGAAUAUUGAAACUCAGCUUUCCAAAGUUAAUAAAUCACGUAUCCUUUUUGCAGUUAUCUUUUUCCUUGAACUCUGCAGCUUUCUACGCUGCAGGUGGCCCCUCUUCCUCAGUCUGUGUAAUUGUGUUCUGAUUCUCCUGCCUUUGACCUAUUCUUUCUCCUUCAUUCCUUUGUCCAGCUCCUAAGUACAUGUGUACUUAAAUGCAGUCAGCUCUCUGCUCUUUGUGCUCUAUAAUCUUUGUCCUUGUAAAUUUCAAUCUCUCCAAUUUUGGGGGUCCUUUCUCUUCUCUAUUCUGGGUGACCUAGAAUCUUGGAGUCGGAAGACAUAAUGCUUUGCAUAAAAAUUUAGUUGCUUCCUCAGGUGACUGUUUAGAACUCCCAUUGAUUGGUAUCAUCAUGUCACAGUAAUGUUUCUUCUCAGAACUAGCUCUUCUUCCAGAAGCUCUGAUUCAUAAUCAAGAAAAAUUUAUUAAGACCACAUAUUAUAUGAUUUCAUUUACCAUGAAGUGUCCAAAACAGGCAAAUCUAUAGAGAUAGAAAGUAGAUUUGUGGUUGCCUGAGGUUGGGGGUAGGGUGGAGAGGGAUUGCUGAUGGUUAUGAAAGUUCUUUUUGGGGUGAUGAAAAUUUCUAAAAUUAGAUUGAUGAUCUAUUCACAACACUAUAAAUACUAAAAACCAUUAAGUUCUAUCCUUUAAAAGGGUAAAUUGUAUAUUAUGCAAAUUUUAUCUCAGUAAAGCUGUUUUAAAAAAUGAAUAUUUAUUAAGUACCUACUGUAAAUUAGGUGGUACUAAGUGUUUUCUCCUAUGAUUCCAUUAAAAUUUGUGUCAACACUUUGACUGCUUUUGUCAGUGCUUUCAUUACUUUUUUAGUCACUAUCCUAGAUAACUUUCUAAGUAUCUUUUCCAUCCUUUUCUUCCUUUUCAUUCCCAGUCUCAGCUAGCCCAGAAAUGUUUUGCAGGUCACCACACCCUCACUUCCCCCAUCUUCCUUCAGUUGCUAUGUGAAUCUAAAAAAACCCACCCAAACAACUCUGAAGAUUUUUAAAGUCGACUUGGAUUGGGGAAUGGGAUUUUGGUGGUUGUGGGAACUAGGGCUAGUAGUGACCUUAUACUGCUCCUGGAUCCACACUUGCUUCUCUAGUGGAAGACCCAUGUCUUAAGGAUUGUGUCAUCCUUAAUUUUCUUGGGAACUUACUGUAGGUGUUACUCACUAUGGCAUCUGGGUACAAGCCACUCUAUGUAUCUUAUAAUGCACAUAUUCUGGGUACCCAGCUUGUUAGAGUUCCUCCAGGGUGAAUGUGGCUUCUAGCCUUGGAAUUAGAGGAGCAAGAGCUUUGGAACCAUACAAUUCAGGUUGAAAUUCUGGUGCCUUGACUUCAAGGCGUGUGAGCUGAGGCAGGCUUCUCUAACCACUCAGUCUCAGUGUCAUCACCUGUACUCUAAGCUCCUCAGGGGCAGAGGCCUAGUCUGUUUGCUUUCAGGUUUUUUUGAUCACAUCUGGAACAGUGACUGGCAGUGAUAUAUGGUGGGCACUCAGAGUAUUUGUUGAAUGAAGGAAGGAAUGGGAAUAAUAACUACUUCCAUAGGGUUGGAGUGAGGAUUAAGUGAACAUAAGCUGCCCAGCACAGGGCUUCUUCAGCCAAAAUUAACGACUUUUUCUGGUCUUCUUGACCCCUUUAUCAGUUUAUAUGCAGGGUGGUCUGGUUUAGUGUCUACUUUUGUUUAGUAGGUGCCUGUAUCAAUCUAAAAGGAUUUGGCUUAUGUGGUUGUGGGAGCUUGCUGAAUUAGUCCGAAAUCCAUAGAGUGGGCAGGCAGGAAGGGUUGGAAAAUCUGAAGCAGAAGAUGAAGCCCUGGUGCCAGGUGAGAUUUCCUCAAAGAAACCUCAGUUCUUUUCUUAAGGCCUUUCAACUGAUUUGAUCAGGCCUACCAGGUCAAAUACUAUUCUCCUUUUCUUAAAGACAACUGAUUAAUAAUCACAUGCCCAAAAUACCUUCACAGCAACAUCUAGAUUAGGGUUUUAUUAAUAACUGAAGACUAUAGCCUAGCCCAGAAACCUGACCAUCACAACAUCUCUUUGGACAUUUCCUUUAUUAUUGCAGAUGCUUUAUAAAACUAGAAAUGUAGUAAGUUUAAAAUACAGUAAAUACAGUAAUGGAUUUUGGGGUAUGUUGCAGGUUCUAUUCAUUUUUUAAACAACCAUUUAUGAUCAUGUGUUAUGUGCCAAGUGCUGCACUGUGUAUGAGCUCAAGGAGCUUACAUUUUGGUGUGAAGGAUAAACAAGUGAGUGGGUACCAAAAUUUGGUGAUUAGUGGCUGUUUUGGGGGCAAGUACAGGGAUCACAGAGGAGAGAUACCUAAUUAAGUUUUGGAGGUAUUUUAAAGUAGUGGGGUCUUGUAAAGUGUUUCCUUGGCUGAGAUAUUAUGAUUAGCAAGAGUUAUCUAAGUAAAAGAAUAGGGAGAAGGAAGAGCGUAAAUAGGUACCAGGUAACAGGGAUACCAUUUUCAUAUCUAGUUGCAGGAAAUAACAUGACAUAGGGAAUUAAAAGUAGCUCAGAAUGGAUGGAAAAUCAACUUGGUGCAUGAGUUGGACAGGGAGAAAUGUGCGGUGUUGUUGGUGGAGGACAGGAAAAGAUGAGACUACAUACAUAAGUUUAGUUAGAUUUUGCAGGGUCUUGUAAAGUAGGAAAACUUGUUAGGUUUGGAUCUUUCCCACAGAGUGGUGGUGAGCCAUAGAAGUGGUUUAAAGAGGAAAGUAAAAGAAUUGAUGAAUUGAUCAAUUUGAGCUUUAGAAAGAUUUGUAAUUUGUGUGGUGGGGACAUGGUACUUGGAGAAAUGAAGACAGGGAGGCAGGAUAGGAAGCAGGUUAGUAAUGGUGGCCAGAACUAAGGAAGCAGCAGCGUGAAGUAACUGUACUCAAGGGAAUAUGCACGUAGUGAUUGAUUGGACCUGGCCCCAGAAGCCGAGGAUGAGGGAAGGCUCAAGAAUGACACCCAGGUUUUUAGAUGGUGGGUCAUUCAGAAAGAGAGUACAGGAAGAAGAACAGAUAUAUGGGCAUUGGGGUGCCUGGCUGUCUCAGUUCAUAGAGCAUGUGACUCUUAAUCUCAAGGUUGUGAGUUCAAGCCCCACAUUGGGUAUGGGGCCUACUUAAAUAAAAACACAUUAUGUGAAAAAGAUACAUGGGCAUCAAGUUGUUUUCAGCUUUAAAUCCAGAGAAUUUAAAAUGAUGCUGGGGCAUCAAAAUAUAAAUACAUGGUAGGCUUUUGGAUCUAUAAGUUGGAAGCAAAGGAAAGAGCUUUAGGCUGGAUUUCUCGACUUGGGAAGUAUUGACUUCUUGACGUAAAUGAAUCCUAGAAAAUGGGUAUGGAAUAAGAUGAGUGUAGAACACUACCAACACUUAGAAAUCUGCUGAAGAAAGAAUGUGGAGGGAAUUUUAACAAUGGUUGUAGUGGGAUGUGUGGUACAGAUGAUUAAUAUGGUUGGAGUGGGAGGAAGUGUUUAUUCUACAGCUGCUGUUAAACUGACUCCUGUGUACAGCUCUCAUAAGUGUUUGACCUACAGCUUUCUCCCCAGGAACACAGUUCUUUAAGAUCCAGUGCGUUAAAGGAAAAGUUGUAGAGUUGUGCUGAUUGUAUGCCAGGCAUUGAAAAGAAAUGGCUCCUUCCCAGAUAAGUGUAUUAGUAUGGGAAAUGUGUAGCAUAUAGGUUGACUUUUUUGUUGUUGUUGUUACUCAUGGGUAAAGAAGUUACCAGUUUACACUUUUUAUAUGUGUCCACUGUCAGUCAAUACAAGUUCCUAAACUUCUCUGAAUCUCAUAUUCUUGUGAAAUAGGAAUUAAGAUGAGAUGAUUUUCUGAAUGGUUUUAUGAAGUACAAUAAAUGAGGAUAAUAAAAGCUAAACUGUAAUUUGAGCUCAGAUUUCAUACUUGUAGUAACAAGGAUUUCUCUUACUUUGGGUAGAAAUUGAGAUCCAAUAAAAACACUUGAUUUGGGGGGCACCUGGGUAGCUUACGCGGUUAAACAUCCAACUCUUUCAGCUCAGGUCAUGAUCUCAUUGUGGGUUCAAGCCCCGCAUAGGGCUCUGUGCUUACAGUGUAGAGCCUGCUUGAGAUCCUCUCUCUCUUCUCUUUCUCUGCCUCUCACCCCGUCAUGCUUUCUCACUUUCUCUCUCUAAAUAAAAAACAAAACAAACAAAACGCUUAGUUUUAAAUUUUCUCUUCCACACUUGGACAAAACUGGCUGUUUCCUUUGUGUGUAUGUAGCCAUAGUUGCUAACCACUAGGGGUCAGGCUCCUCAUAAACAGUUAAUGCCCUCCAAAAGUUAUUGAUGCACACCAUUUGACUCUAGAAUUGUUGCAUUUUAUUAUGCUAUUCUGUGUUUCCAGCCCCAGCUAAAUGUGCUCUGUGGUAUAUAUUUAUUUCAGUUGAAUACAGUUUUGAGAAUUUGGUUGGCGUUCUGAAGUCUUACAUAAUUGGAGUAGGUAAUAAUUGCUGUAUCAAGUGCCCACUAUGAGUGCUAUGGUAUCUUUGUUUCCUUGUAGUGUCAUUUUAUAAUUGAAAUUUAAAAAAAUUGAAAUGCAAGAAUAUCUGUCAUUUCAAAGAUAAGGGAAUAGUUCAGUUCUUAACUUUUAGAGAUUAAUUUUCUCUUAGGUUGUUUCUAAAAGGUAUUUUUUUAAGGUCUUUUCUCUGUAGUAAAUAAAUGGAAUUGAGUAACAGUUUUGGACUAAGGGGGAGGUGUUUUCAGUGGGUCAAAUAAUAAUAAAUGAAUGAGUCACAGGACACUGUAUAUCAGGGGAAUCCAAAAUUUUCCUUCUUUUAAUUGGUAUAAGAACUAGAAUGGCUUAGUAUGGAAGAGAUAAAUAGAUGAUACAUAAUUUGUACUCCUUUUGGGACCUAGUUAUAAAUGACUAUUUUUCCCAUAAAAUUUAAGAAACUGUUCAUAGACAUUUGUGUUCACAUUAAUAAACUAAUUACUAACAGUGAUUUUUAAAGCAUUUCAAAAGCAAUUUAGAAUAAAUUUCGCUUUAAAAAAAAAAGUUUCCCUAAACGCUUGAAUUGUUUUUAAAAAUGCCAGUAUAUCUAUUCUGAAAAAACUUCUCUGUGAGAGUAUAUAAUUCGGGUAUAUGAUCCAAAGUGGAGAUGAUGAUAGUGAUGAUAAUAAUAAUAAUAAUUAUUGGUGUUUUAUAGUAAAUGCUCUAUGAACAUACCCAGUUAUAUUUAAUAAUGGUCUUAGGUUAAAAAUGAUGAUUUCAUUUUCUUUGAAAACAUUGCUAUUGUUCACCCCUCCUUUUUUUUUUGCUUCCUUUUUAAUUUUUUUUGUUUUAUUUGGAUCUAGGACAGAAUGCUGAUAAUUUAAUGUACUUUUUUUUUAAAUAGUCACAUUUAGGUAUACUUCUUUUGCCUUCUCUCUGCCUCUUUCUCUGAAUCAUCCAAGAUUAUAAUUUUUCCUGAUUAAAAAUCCAUUUCAGAUGAUUGACAUGGCCUAUUUUCUUUUUCUUUUUCUCCUCCUCCUCCUCCUCCUUUUUCUUUUUCUUUUUCUUUUUCUUUUUCUUUUUGUUUUUCUUUUUCUUUUCGAGAGGAGAGUGAACGUGUGCAUGUGCAAGCAGGGAGAGGGAGAGAGAGAAUCUUAAGCAGACUCCACACUCUGCGGAGCCUGAGGUGGUGCUCAAUCUCAUGACCGUGAGAUCAUGACCAAGCGAAAUCAAUCAAGAGUCAGAUGCUUAACCAACUAGGCCACCCAGGUGCCCCAAGAAUAAUAAUAUUUGUUAAACAAUAUGUUGGGGACAUUGAAAUUUUUUCUGCUCUAAAUACUUUUUAUUUUUUUUUUAUUAACUGAAUUAUAGCAGUAGACAGUACUAUAUUGGUUUUAGAUGUACAACAUUGUGAUUUGACAUUUAUAAAUUACAUCAUGAAAUAAUUUCCAUAAGUAUAGUUACCAUCUGUCACCAUUCAAGGCUACACAAUAUUAUUGACUGUAUUCCCUAUACUGUACUUUACAUCCCUGUGACUCAUUUAUUUUGUACCUGGAAGUUUGUACCUCUUAAUCCCCUUCCCCUAUUUUGCCCAUCCCUCCACUUCUGUAUCCCCACCCCCAGCAGCCAUCAGUUUGUGCUCUGUAUUUAUGAGUCUCUUUCAGGUUUUUUGUUGUUGUUGUUUGCUCAUUUGUUUUUUAGAGUUUGCAUAUAAGUGACAUCAUGUGGUAUUUGUCUUCCUCUGACUUAUUUCACUUAGCAUAAUACCUCCUGGGUCUGUCCAUGUUAUUGCAAAUGGCAAGAUGUCAUUCUUUUUUUUUUUGGCUGAGUAAUAGUGCAUUGUGUAUGUGUAUGUAUGUGUGUGUGUGUGUGUGUGUGUGUGUAUAUAUAUAUAUAUAUAUACACACACACACACACACACACAUUAUCUUCUUCUUUAUCCAUUCAUCUUUCAGCAGACACUCAAAUUUCUUCUUUAUGUUGCCUAACAUAAAUAAUGCUGCAAGAAACAUAAGCGUGUGUAUUUCUUUUCAAAUUAGUGUUUUUGUUUUCCUUGGAAAAACCCAGAAAUGGAGUGACUAUAUCAUAUGGUACUUCUAUUUUUACUUUCUUGAGAAACUUCCAUACUGUUUUCCCAUAGUUGCUACACCAAUUUACAUACACACAAACAGUGCAGGAAGGUUCCCCCUUCCUCACAUUUUUGCCAACACUUGUUAUUUCUUGUCUUUUUGAUGGUAGCUAUUUUGACUGGUUUGAGGUGAUACUUCAUUGUGGUUUUGAUUUCCAUUUCCCUGAUGAUUAGUGAUAUUGAGAGCAUCUUUUCACGUGGAUAUUGGCCAUCUUUGUGUUGUCUUUGGGAAAGGGUCUAUUUAGGUUCUUCUGCCCAUUUUUUAAUUGGAUUGUUUCUUUGGUGUUGAGUUGUAUUGAUUCUUUAUGUAUUUUGGAUCUUAAUCCCUUAUCAUAGAUAAUUUGCAGAUAUGUUCUCCCAUUCAGUAGGUUUCCUUUUCAUUUUACUGGUGGUUUCCUUCACUAUGUGGAAAAAGCUUUUUAGUUGGAUGUAGUCCUAAUUGUUUAUUUUUGCUUUUGUUGCACUUGAUUAAGGGGACAUAUCCAAAAAAAUAUUGCUAAGGUUAAUGUCCAAGAGUUUACUUCCUGUGUUUUCUUUCACAAGUUUAUGCCUUCAGGUCUUAGGUUAUGUGUUUAAUCCAUUUUGAAUUUAUUUUUAUAUGUGGUGUAAGAAAGUGGUCCACUUUUAUUUUUUUUUUGCAUGUAGCUGUUCAGUUUUGCCAACACUAUCAAAGAGACUGGUCUUUUCCCCCGUGUAAAUUCUUGCCUCCUUUGUCACAGAUUAAUUAACCAUGUAAACAUGGGACUAUUUUGGGGCUUUGUGUGGUGUUCCAUUAUUCAGUGUUUCUUUUUGUGCCAGUACCAUACUGUUUUGAUUACUAUAGUUUUGUAGUAUAGUUUGAAAUACGGAAUUGUGAUGCUUGUGAUAGCUCUGUUUUUCUUUUUCAAGAUUGCUUUGGUAUUUGGGGUCUUUUGUAGUUCUGUACAGAUUUUAGGAUUAUCUUAAUUCUGCAAAAAAUACUAUUGGUAUUGAAUCUUUAGAUUGCUUUGGAUAGGUUCAACAUUUUAACAAUAUUCUUUGAAUCCAUGAACAUGGUAUAUCUUUCCAUUUGUAUCAACUUAUUUCAUCAUUAUCUUAAAGUUUUCACUAGAUGGGUCUUUCACCUCUUUGGUUAAACUUAUUUCUAGGUAUUUUUUUUUUCUUCUUUGAUGUCACUAUAAAUAAGAUUGUAUUCUUAAUUUCUCUUUCUGCUAGUUUAUUAUUAGUGUAGAGACAUGCAACACAUUUCCAUAAUUAAUUGCAAUUCAUUUAGUCUAACAGUUUUUGGUGGCGUCUUUAGGGUUUUCUGUAUAUAUUAUGUUAUCUGCAAAUAGUGACAGAGUUACUUCCUCCUUAAUAAUGUGGAUACCUUUUAUUCCUUUUUCUUGCCUGAUUUUUGUGGCUAGGACUUCGAGUACUAUGUUGAAUAAAAAAAGCAAGAGUGGACAUCCUUGUCCUGUACUUUAGAGGAAAAGCUUUCAGCUUUUCACCCCUAAGUAUGAUGUUAGCUGUGUGUUUGUCAUAUAUGGCCUUUGUUAUGUUGAGGUACGUUCCCUCUAUAUCCUAUUUCUUGAGAGUUUUUGUCAUGGAAGGAUGUUGAAUUUUGUAAAGUGGUUUCUCUGCAUCUAUUGAGAUGAUCAUGUGAUUUUUAUCUUCAUUUUGCUAAUCUGGUAUAUUGUGUUGAUUGAUUUGCGGUUAUUGAACCAUCUCUCAUCUCUGGAAUAAAUUUCACCUGGUCAUGGUGAAUGAUCCUUUAAUAUAUUACUGAAUUUGGUUUGCUCAAUUUUUUUUUAGGAUUUUUGCAUCUGUGUUCAUUAGGAUUAUUGACCUGUAAUUUUCUAUUUUUGUAGUACCUUUGGUUUUGAUAUCAGACUAAUGCUGGCCUCAUAGAAUGAAUUUGGAAACAUUUCUUCUCUUCAAUUUUUUGGGUUAGUUUGAGAAGAAUAGGCAUUAGCUCUUCUUUAAAUAUUUGGUAGAAUUUCCUUGUGAAGCCAUCUAGUCCUCAGCUUUUGUUUAUUGGGAGUUUUUUUUUUUUUUAAAUUACUGAUUCAGUUUCAUUGCUAGUAAUCAGUCUGAUGAGAUUUUCUAUUUCUUCCUGAUUUUGUCUCGGAAGACUGUAUGUUUUUAGGAAUUUAUCCAUUUUCAUUUAGAUAGUCCAAUUUGUUGGCAUAUAAUUUUUCAUAGUAGUCUCUUGUAAUCCUUUGUAUUUCUGUGGUUUUAAUUUGUCCUCUUUUAUUUCUGAUUUUAUUUAUUUGAGCCCUCUUUUUUGCUUGAUAGGUCUGGUAAAGAUUUUAUCAUUUGUAUUUAUCUUUGCAAAGAACCAGUUCUGAGUUUCCUUAAUUUAUUUUUGUCUAUUUCCAAUCUGAUCUGUAUUAUUUCCUUUAUUAUUUCUACUAAGUUUGGGCUUUAUUUUUUAGUGCCUUUAGGUGUAAGAUUAGAUUGAGACUUUUCUUGUUUCCUUGAGGUGGGCUUUUCUUAGAUCUUCUUUUGCUUUGUCUCAAAGAUGUUGAACUGUUGGUUUCCAUUUUCAUUUGUGUGAAUGUAUUUUUUUAAUUUUCUCUCAUUUCUUUGUUGACCCAUUGGUUGGUUGGUAGCAUGUUGUUUAGCCUUGGUGUAUUUGUGUGGUGUUUUUUUUUCCAGUUUUUUUUUGUUUUGUUUUUUUUUUGUAAUUGAUUUACAGUUUAAUACCAUUGUGGAUCAGAAAAGAUACUUGAUAGAAUUUCAGUCUUCUUAAAUUUAUUGAAGCUUGUUUUAUGGCUGAAUAUAUGAUCUGUCCUGGAGAAUAUUCUGUAUGUACUCAAAAAGAACGUGUGGUCUGCUGUUUUUGGAUGCAGUGUUCUGUGUAUAUAUCUGUUAAGUAUAUCUAGCCUGAUGUGUCCUUCAAAGCUACUGCUUCCUUGAUUGAUUUUCUGCCUGAGUGAUCUAUUGAUGUAAGUGGUAUGUUAAAGUUCCCUAGUAUGUUCACUUGUAAACUGGCCUGUGAAGGUAAUUGCAAACUAAGCAAUUUUCUUUGUAACAUAGGUACAGUGUGUUAGAUUAGUAGUGUACCUCUUUGGUAACUUUUUUUUUUUUUAAUAGGAUAAUUGUGAGCCAUUUGUUUAAAUGGCUAAAAAAAUAAAAGAAAAAAUAAACAAGUAAUUAUUCAGUGGCUUUUACUGCAAGUUAUUAUGUCUUUUUUUUUUUUUUAAGUAAGCUUUACACCCACUAUGUCACUUGAACUCAUGACCCCAAGGUCAAAAGUUGCAUGCUCUACUGACUAAGCCAGUCACGUACCCCAGCAAGUCACUAUAUCUUGUAGGUGAUAUAAUAAUGAGUAGAAAUUAGCUCUUCCCCUCAAGGAACCAAAAGCACAUGGGGUAUAAGACAUGUAGAUAACUCCUACAAAAGAAAAGGCACACUAGACAUCCCUAAAAGAUGUACUGGAGGUGCUCACAACAAGGAGAGUCACAGUUAGAUCAAGCAGAAAGAGGACAGUGGUAUUUAAAUUUUUUUUUUUUCAACGUUUAUUUAUUUUUGGGACAGAGAGAGACAGAGCAUGAACGGGGGAGGGGCAGAGAGAGAGGGAGACACAGAAUCGGAAACAGGCUCCAGGCUCUGAGCCAUCAGCCCAGAGCCCGACGUGGGGCUCGAACUCACGGACCGCAAGAUCGUGACCUGGCUGAAGUCGGACGCUUAACCGACUGCGCCACCCAGGCGCCCCUGACAGUGGUAUUUGAGAUAGGCUGCAUAGGAUGAACAGGAUUUCAAUAGUGUGAAAAGAGAGUAUUAAUUCAAGAGGUGACAGAAGGGGUAUCUGACCCAGAUCUAUGGGCAGUUCACAGAUGGUUUAUAGGAAAUGUUUAAUUGAAAACAUUAGGCUAAGAGAUCCCUAAGUUUUUUAAAAAAAGACUCACAACAAGAAUAAAAAUUUCAAAAAUUUGUUUUUUUCCCAGGUUUUAAAAAAAGUUAAAGUGAUUUUUAUGUAACAGGCAACUUAUAUUAAUAAAAACAUUUCUUGAAAUCAUAUUCUCUAAGCUUUAAUGGAAAUAUAUGUUUGGAUUAUUUUGUUUAAAGUACCAUGAGCCUUUAAUUUCCAUAGUAUACAAUUUUUUGUGUCAUAUACCUCCACAGUAUACACUAACAUAUGUUUGAAGAUACAUUAAGAAAGCAAGAUACCCUUCUGGAGUUGCAUCUCGGCUGUGACUCUUCUCCAGAUACUUAAAAAUUAAUUUUAAUUUUUACUAGAGUAACACAUUUACAUAACUCUCAUUUUAUCCUUAGGAAAAAUGUGAGAGACAGAUAGGACAACAAAUAUUCUUGUUUCAUGGGAAGUAAACUUGAGGUUUUGAGUGGUGACCAGCCUGGUAGAAAGCAGUGGAAUCAGUAGAUAGCAAAUCUACUGUUCUUUCUGUGUUACUCCUAGAACUAAAUAUUUAGGUUGAUGUUCUCAUAACUAGAAGAGAUAGAAAGUAUUUAAGUUGUUUAGUUUUUUUUAAUUGUAAUAUUUUACCUUAAAGUUUUGUCCCUGAUGUCGUAAGGAAUGUGAGCUAUCAAUAGAUAACACUAUGAAACAUAGCAGGAAAUUGAUGAGUUUUUCGAGAUGGUAAUCCUUAGAAUUAGCCUGUCAUGUUGCUGGAGCACUGGUAAAAAGAAUCCCCGUUUUCACAUGGUUUUAUAAUGGAUUUCAUACAGUAUUUGAGCAUUAUGCACAGAGUACGCAUGUGUAGUGUCUUCCCUCUAGGUGGCUCUCUGAGUCUAUAUAGAUUUGGACUACUGAGAAGUGUAUGUUGUUCGUACCUUUAUUUUGCCUUCCUGCUCUGUGGGGCUGUGCGUGACAUUUUUAAGUAAUUAAAUAUGAAGCCCAUGAAUACGUAACAUCAGGCACUCAAUUUAAAACAAAUUUGGAAAAGGAAAUAACAAAGCAAGUUAGAACAAACAUUUGUUGAUUAUAUGCUCAUAAACUUGGGGGGAAGGGAGAAGACACAGGUGAAUCUGUAAUUAUAUUGUAUGAUGACAAAGUCUAGUAAGUAGCCAAGGUUUAUUAGAUUUCUAUCAUAAACUCCAUUUUCUUGGUCCUAAUUAUAUGUAUUCAUUGCUUUGAGAUAAUUUUCUUGAACAUAGGCGUAGUAAUUUAUCUGUAUCUUUAAUGUUCCAUAGAAAAAUUGGUUUUAAAAAGGGAAAAAAAAUAAUUACUUAUGAUUCUGAAAAUUCCCAACAUGAAGAAAUGGUUUUGAACACGUUGGCCAAAAUUACAACAGUAAGUGAUCAUGUAAUAGAAUGACGUUUCACAGACUGUGCGAAUGUGAAGAUUAAUUUUUCAGAUCCCUUGAUGUUUAUAAGUGAGGAUCAACAAUUUUGUUUGGAACCAUUUUUGUGUGUCAUAAUAGUAAAUUUGAAUAAUGCAUAAAGAUUAUCCCUUGGAGAGAAAGAAAUGAAUACAAAAGAGGUAAAAUACAGUGUUCAGUUAACCAACACAUGAAAAAGUCAUUUUCUCAUCAUUCUCUCAAAAUAUUAAAGGAAUUAAAUUAUGAUAGUGCUAUAGUACGAGAAGAAAACAAUUUUAGGGUUUGCCUAAAGUGUACUUGUCAGCGCUCUCAUUUUCUUCCUGACCCUUUUACACCUUGUUCCACUGUAAUAUGACAUUUGCUUUCAUCACUGUGUCAGAAGAAUUCAGGGCUGCCUGGGUAUUUUUAUCUCCUACCCGGAGCAGCUCUUCAUUCCUUAACAUGGCUUUCUUCCCUUGGCAUCUGUGAAAAAGUCCCUGGCUUUUCCCAUUCCUCUCUUUAAUUGUUCCUUAUUGUCGUGGGUACCUCUUAAAUAUUGGUAUCUUAACAGACUUUGAUAUUUGACUCUUUCCUUUUUUCUCCAUGGACCAUUUCAUUUAUGUCAGAGUUGCAGUUACCAUUUAUGUGCCAUUGCUUUUCAAGUCCAUGUCCCUAGCCUAUUCCUCUUUUGAACUCCAAAUCAAAUCUUCACCUGCCUGCUGCCUGCUGUGCUAGGUAUGAAUGUUUUGAACUUAGUGUCUCCUUUCCCCUCUAAACCAACCUAUCUUACCUCUUCUCUGUCUUCUUGAAACAGUUUCCCAGUAUCCAAGUUUGACUUGAAAGUCUUUGACUCAUUCAAAGAAAGUUCCCUUUCUUUCUCUUCCUCCCUCCCCCCAAGUUUGUAGACAUGUAAUAAAUAUUCUAAUUUGCUUUAUUUCCUUCCCCAAAUGUAUAUAAAUUGGCUGAUGUUAUGUAUUGUUGCACUUUGUAGUUUAUGCAUCUCGUAACAUAUGCUAAUAGAGUGUUUUUGAACCUUGCUCUUGAAAAGAAGUCCCAAAGAUUUAACUGAUAAAUCAAUAUGGGCAGACACUUUCCAGAAGUUUUUCCUUUCCCAAAAUUUCUCAGAAGUAAAUCCUUUAGGACUUGACCAUACACAAAAAGUAAAAUGGUACACAGAGUGAAAGAGGACAGCAAAAGUAUCUUUAAGGACCUAUGUAUUCCUUGGUAUAUUAAAUGAUGAAAUGAUAAUCAUUUGAUUAUAAUAGGGCUAGUGGUGUAUAUGUAGCCAACAUGAAAAUUGAUACGGCAUUACUCUGAAUUGUCUAAGGUGGUAAGUUAAUGUAUUAAUGUCUGAAUGUCUCUUGUUAUGUUUAAACCAUUCUCUGUAAUAUCUUAAAAAGUAGGUAUAGCAGGAAAAAUAGUUUUUUGCAUUUGGUUAAGAAGUUUUAAAAAUUAUUGUUGGUUUGCAUAAGCAUAACUAUCUCUUCUGCAUUGGGAGUAAAGUGGAAGACAAUGUUAGGAAAAUAUUUAAAUACAGUAUUGUAUGUCAGGGUGGUGGCUGAUAUUCUUGACCUUAGGAAUCAUGGCUAGAAUCUAGUCCUUUUAUGUCUGGGUAAUGUCAAGAUUAAUUGAAGAGUUGCUGAAAAUGAGUGUGUAGAUUACCACUUAACUUGUCCCACUUUUUUGUGCCUCCGUAGGUACAUGGACUAUACCGCACAACAGGUGCUAGUUUUGAGAAGGCCCAACAAGAAUUUGCAACAGGUGUGAUGUCCAACAAAACUGUCCAGACUGCAGCUGCAAAUGCAGCUUCAAGUGCAGCAACUAGUGCGGCUCAGAACGCUUUCAAGGGUAACCAGAUGUAGAGAACCCUCCAACAGUACACUGGUACCUUCUGACUGUACUUUUUCUCCAGUUACUGUAUUCUAUAAAUAUUUUUAUGUUCAAAACACAGUACACACAGCAUGUAUAUUUCCUGUUCACUUGUGCAUGGGCUAAAACCAGAAAAACUUCCUUGUCUUAUUUGCCUAUUAGUUUCUUAAUAUUUUGGUGCCCCUUGCAGAAAAAAAUACCACAUGCUAAAUAAAUAUUCUCCAUAUUUUUUGGGGGAUGAAUGUUCAGCAAAUUAUUUCAGUGGUGACACACUGAAAUUAAUAUGGUACUUAUGAUUAAAAAUGCAUUUAGUACUAGCUGCAGUCAUUCUUUCAAAAAUCUUAGACUUAAGGAUUACAUAUUGGAACAUUAAAGCGAUGCUUCAUUCCAUUUUCCCCAUUUAUACUGAAAGAAAUAGGCCGUCAGGGACUUAGGGAUUUUAAAAUUGGCUUGCUUUUUAGCAGUUUUAGUCACCAGUGAAGAGCCUGUGUGCAUUUCGUAGUAGAUGAUGUAAAUUUUAUCCUUUUCUUUUUGUUUUAUUUUUAUAGAGUAGUUGAUAUUUUCAUACCAAUCUCUGAUCUUGCAUGGGCACCACAUUUCUUAAAAGAAUUAGUAUUUUGGCUUUUGCACUGCUUAUGGUUGUAGGAUUGCAGAGAUGCUGGUAGAAUCAAAGAAGAGAUUUUCUGCAAUAGUUUCUGUUAAAUAAAAAUUUAUUGGGAUGCAAUAUGAGAACAUAAUGUGCAGUGCAUCAUCCAAAAAAGGGUAGAUAAUCAGUGGAAUAGAAUGUAGUGAUGAUAAUACUGUUUUUUGUUUUUGUUUUUUAAUUUUCAGUAUCCGUAUCAUAGUAGAAUAUUACUGUAUGGAAACUUUGGUAUAUUCUUGUGGUUACUCAUUUUAAUUGAACUGAGAUUGUGUUUGGCAGCUCUUUUUUGGGGAGUGUGUGUGUAUAAUUUUUAACAGAGGUAUUAAAGUCUAGACUAACUCCUUGUCCAAAAAGAACAUACAGUAUUUCAGGGAUUUUUCUUUUAGCCUCUCAUCUGUAGUGGGAUUAAAAAGAAAAAGAUGCUGUUGUUUCACAUAUACUUGAAUUCCUAAUGCACCUCAGUCUUUGAACUUUUGACACAGACUGAAUACAUUAAAAUUUUUCAGCAAUAGAAAAAAAUGAAACAUAUAACUUGCAC
rnacentral:lncRNA from 1 species